UUUGUUCUUCUUCACCCGAUAAACCCCAAUUAGUUUAGGGUUUUCAUCUUCAUCGUUACCUCAGAAAAACUUCUCCAAAUUCUAGCAAUUCGAUUCGAAUUUCGCAUACAAUAUCGCGAAAACAGCACCGUUUUGGAUCCAUGUGUUGAUUUGCAGAUUCGAAAAUGACACGGGCUUAUACUAUGAAGGGGAAGAAGCGAAAGAACAAGGAAGUGUCAGGGAAGUACAAUCGUGAAGAAGAUGAAGAAGAACUAGUCCAAUCAAAGAAACCAGCGAUUCAGAGAAGAACCAACGUCGGUAGUUACAAAAACUGAGGAAAGUAGUGAACUUGCAGGUAUUUCAAUUGCUCCUUCAUUUGAAAAACCAGUGAUAAAGCGGUUGUUAUUUUCAUUCUAGUCUUUUCAUAUUGUUAAAUGUGUUUAAGAAUUACUUCUAAGGUUAGAUAUAUGAUUGAUUGUGAACUAUGAAGCACAGACACAUAGACACAAAUUAAACAUAAUCACAAGUGUGUUGUGCGGUUUCGGUCCGCGACACUGACACAUUUUUUCAGAGGCGUCGGUGCUAGAUAGGUUUACAUCAAUGGAUAUUUUUCUCUAGCUAAGUUAUUAUACUUUUUGAUUUAAGUUCUGAUAUAUUUAGCAGAUGCUGCAGUAUAACUACUGCAAGGAGGUUAAUUUCUAAAUUGUACUUCAAUGCUAAUUUUUCCAGCAUUUUGUAUAUUUUGAUAGUCCUAGUUGUAUUUGUUAACAAAAUCCAACUACACAAUCUUCGGGUCCUCGUUGUCGGCCGAAAUAGGUAAGUCAAUUCAUCUCUACACAACUGCCUCUAACACUGUCAGUUAUAAUAACUCUAAUCACGUGCGUGUGUGUGUGUGCGUGUAACAGAGAAAAGGUGAAGCUCUCGUUGUUUUUUUGGAUGACCGGGUUUAAGAUUGGUGAUAUUCGUUAAGUGUUGAAUUGAAAAAGCCAGCUUUGGAGUUUUGUGUUUUUGGUAAUAUUCCAAGAGAGGACUCUUCUAAAAUUCUGCAAUGUCCUUGCCUUAGGUGCAGUGCAGGGCAGACUCACUUUCAAUUGUCUUCAACACUAACCUCUUCAUCCUCUAAACCACUCAUGUUCCCAGGUAAGUCAUCUUCAGGUGUGUGCAUUACAUCAUUAACUGGAGCCAUCUGCAUAUAUCAAAUACAAUUUCCUUAAAUAUUUUCUAACAUCUUUUUAGCAUAUACAAAGUUUCAAUUUCAAAUCACUUUAAUGAUAUUACCUUCACAUUGGAAAGCUGCUGAAAAAAACUAGAAUGUUGAAAUGAACCUUUCUUCUUUUAUAGUAUGAAGAAAUUUUCAUAAUUGUUUAUAGAAUAACUUUCUAUAAUGGUUAGGUUGUUAAUAGAUAUUGUCAUACCUAUUCUUAUCCUAUGUCUGUUAUGAAUAUCUCAUUCACACCAAGACAGUGUUGUCCUCACCCUUGUGUAUAUGAAUCUUAAUUAUUAUUGCCUCUCUAAGAUUAAAUGGUUCUAUUCAAACAUUUCACAUGAAUAACUGUCGAGAUCCAAUAAAAAAAUGCAUAGACAAAACUUGUGGGGUGCCUUGUAUCUAAUAAAAACAUGCGGAUCUUGAGUGCAUGAGUUUAAAAUAAAUAUAAUGAUUGAGGGUAUGAUUAACUAGCAUAUGACCUUAGACUUAAAAUAAAUAUUCUACAAUUAUGCCUGUGAUGCUUGCGUGAUGCUGCUCGGUUUGAGUUAUUGCAUUACGUUUGAUUUACUCAGUGCGUCGAUGUGAAGCUGCGAACGAAAACUUAAUGCGUUGAUAUUGAACCAUGGCUUGUUGCUGAAUCUGAUGUUGUUCGAAUCUCGUUUUGCAAGUCUGAAGCUUGAAUGGAUGUGGUUGAAAGUUGUUAUGAUGCUGAUCUGAGUUGUUGUGAAUUUGUGAUGAUGAAGGAAAUGAAAGCUACCGUUGUUGACAGCGGCAAUGGAACCGAGACUGGACAUAUCAUUGUGACUACUAUUGGUGGUAGAAAUGGUCGGCCAAAGCAGACUAUAAGCUAUAUGGCAGAGCGUGUUGUAGGACAUGGAUCAUUUGGAGUUGUCUUCCAGUUGUUUUCUAGGUCAAUGAAAUGAGAGAUAGACCUUCAUGCAAAGUUUCUCAAUGUUGAGAAUGUACUUGGCUUACACGAGGCUCUUCGGAGAUAAAUAGUAGCUUUGAUGAAUGUAGAAGGAAUCAAUAGGGAACUUGUUGCAAGCCAUCUCCACAUUACAUUUUCUUUAAUAUUGUUAUUUACAAAUCUGUUGUUGCUAAAGCAGCUGUAUGUUUGGAUGGACCAUUGCCUGCUUAUCAUUUCAACCGUGGAUUCGGAUCGGGAGCAAACAGCUGGCUUGUUAAUUUAGAGGUGGAUCAUCAAAUUUCAUGGAGAAGGCGAUUCCUUUUAUGGGAAUAAUGAGCAAUAAUGCUCAAGAGAAUCCAGAUUUUUCAUCAUAUAAGUUUCCUACAGAAUGGCUGGCCAUCAAUCUCACUCAGAAUUAUGAUUAUUGUUGUGGUGGUUUGGAGGCCAGAUACCCGGUGGUACCGUAUCUUACUGUUUUAAUCUGAAUGUGAAUCAAGCUAGAUCUGAGGUGAAAAAUUCUGUCUGUUGGGGAUUUCUCAUAAUCCAACUGUUCCGGGAGAGGACGAAGCUAGUAGUCCAGUAAUGAAAGUGAUCAAACAAAUGAAGUUGGCGUCGAUGAAUUAGAUGAAGAAGACCUUAGUAAUAAAUUCUGAUUUGUACUGUUUUUCUUGUUGACUUGGUGUAUCUUUUUAACUUAGGUGGACAAAUGAUCAUUAGUAGCUUGGUUCUUUGAGUCAUUUUUAGUAAUGCGACUAUCUAAAUUCUUGUUACCAACUUUGUAGCAAUUUUUAUAGUAAUAAGUUGUAUAUGAAUUUGUCUUAUUUAAA